rnacentral:rRNA from 1 species
GAUCCUGGCUCAGGACGAACGCUGGCGGCGCGCCUAACACAUGCAAGUCGAACGAGAGAGAAGGAGCUUGCUUCUUCGAUCGAGUGGCGAACGGGUGAGUAACGCGUGAGGAACCUGCCUCAAAGAGGGGGACAACAGUUGGAAACGACUGCUAAAUACCGCAUAAGUCCCACGGGUCGGCAUCGACCUGAGGGAAAAGGAGUGAUCCGCUUUGAGAUGGGCCUCGCGUCCGAUUAGCUAGUUGG